CGUACUUGCGGCGCAGGGAGCGGCUGACGUUCUGCGUCGGGUACCCCAGGAGCUCCAGGCCAAGAGAACAACAGCUCAUUCCUGAGAUAAGGAUCCUGCUGCCAUCUGCCAGAUCCUGAGGCUGCUCAAGGCAAGCCAGGGAUGAGCCAGAACUCGGCUGAGAGCAGAGGCUCCACCCUGGAGAAGCACCGCUGGAAGCACCCACACAGGAAGGACUCUCUCCAUGCCAUAGGAGCCUGCCAGGCAGGAUGCAAUGUCCUGAAGCUGACAGACUCAGAAGAGCAAGCAGCACACACAUAGUCCCCAUCAAUUAAAGGAGUGGCUGGAGUUGUCACUACAUCAACAAAGCACAAGAGCAAAGGGAGGCGAUUGAAUGCCACCAACUGAAUUGUUAGCAAGAGAAUGAGUGGAGGCGAGAAGAAAUCGCUUGUAAAGGCUAUGUGAUUCCCUGAUGACAGAUCUGAGGAAGAAUGAAGAGGCUUUGAAGAUAAAGGUAUCUUCACCUCGCCAAGAUCAACCACAUCCUGCAGAACCUUCAUUCAUUCAGCAAACAGCCAGGCUUUGUGCUAGGCCCUGGGGAAAUGGCAAUUAAGGAGACUCAGUCCCUAUCCUCACAGAACACCCCAUCUGACACGGAAAUAGCUCCUGGCCCGCAAUGUGGUAAGAUGCAGUAAUACGUGCAAGGCCCCUGACUUAGUGGCAAUGAUGUUUAAGCCGAGAUCUGAAGGAUAACUAACAACGGCGUGCCAGAGAAAAGAGUAGCGGGUGGAGAGAGGAGGCCAGGGGAAUAUUUCUGGGCUUGGUAAGUAAGCCAGGUCCCUGCCAGACAUGGACUGAGAAGAGCAAAGCCAGGAGUGACAGCUGACGAUUAUUUUUUAACUGAGGAAGGAAGAUCCUUGAGAACGGAACCUCUUGGGACCUUCUACCCAGAACACCAGAGCACCUCACUGGGAUCAGAGCCAGGCCAUCGGGUGGAUUAAGCAACUAAAAUUGAUUGUCCUGAACCAUGAGUCUGUCUGUUUAUGGGGAGAGAAACUUUGAGAUGAAUUAAUCCACAGGUCCAAUGGGACUUUGACAUUUUAAUUUGUAGAAAUAAAACUUGCCUUUGAUUUUGCCAUCUGGAUUCCCCAAACACGUAUCUACAGAGUGGAACUGUGGUGCCCCUUGACCUGCAGGGUGGCCCCAGGCCUGCCUUGCCCCGCUGGCAGUUGCCCAGGAAGGUGUGUAGGAG
rnacentral:lncRNA from 10 species